rnacentral:pre_miRNA from 1 species
UAAAUACUCCCUCCAUCCCAAAAUUAUUGUCCGGAUAUAUCAAGUCAUGUUUUAGUAUUAGAUACAUUCGUAUCUAGACGAAUCUAAGACAAGAAUUUUGGGACGGAGGGAGUAUAAG